rnacentral:rRNA from 1 species
GUCGAGAAUCUUUCACAAUGGGGGCAACCCUAAUGGAGCGACGCGGCGUGGAGGAUAAGGUCUUCGGAUUGUAAACUCCUGUCAUGCGUGAACAAGGUUGCUUGGAUAAUACCUGAGCAAAUUGAUGGUAGCGCAAGAGGAAGAGACGGCUAACUCUGUGCCAGCAGCCGCGGUAAUACAGAGGUCUCAAGCGUUGUUCGGAAUCACUGGGCGUAAAGGGUGCGUAGGUGGCGUGGCAAGUCAGAUGUGAAAGCCCGGGGCUCAACCUCGGAACUGCAUCCGAUACUGCCAUGCUAGAGUACUGGAGGGGUGACUAGAAUUCUCGGUGUAGCAGUGAAAUGCGUAGAUAUCGAGAGGAAUACCAAAGGCGUAGGCAGGUCACUGGACAGUUACUGACACUGAGGCACGAAGGCCAGGGGAGCGAACGGGAUUAGAAACCCGGGUAGUCC